GCACUCCUACGGGAGGCAGCAGUGGGGAAUAUUGCACAAUGGGCGCAAGCCUGAUGCAGCCAUGCCGCGUGUAUGAAGAAGGCCUUCGGGUUGUAAAGUACUUUCAGCAGUGAGGAAGGUGGGUAUGUUAAUAGCAUACUCAUUUGACCGUUAGCUGCAGAAGAAGCACCGGCUAACUCCGUGCCAGCAGCCGCGGUAAUACGGAGGGUGCGAGCGUUAAUCGGAAUUACUGGGCGUAAAGCGCAUGCAGGUGGUUUGUUAAGUCAGAUGUGAAAGCCCGGGGCUCAACCUCGGAAUUGCAUUUGAAACUGGCAAACUAGAGUACUGUAGAGGGGGUAGAAUUUCAGGUGUAGCGGUGAAAUGCGUAGAGAUCUGAAGGAAUACCGGUGGCGAAGGCGGCCCCCUGGACAGAUACUGACACUCAGAUGCGAAAGCGUGGGGAGCAAACAGGAUUAGAUACCCUGGUAG
rnacentral:rRNA from 1 species